rnacentral:rRNA from 1 species
CCUACGGGUGGCAGCAGUGAGGAAUAUUGGUCAAUGGACGCAAGUCUGAACCAGCCAUGCCGCGUGAAGGAAGACGGAUCUCUGAGUUGUAAACUGCUUUUGUACGAGGGUAAACGCAGAUACGCGUAUCUGUCUGAAAGUAACGUACGAAGAAGGAUCGGCUAACUCCGUGCAAGCAGACGCGGUAAGACGGAGGAUUCAAGCGUUAACCGGAUUUAUUGGGUUUAAAGGGUGCGUAGGAGGUCGGAUAAGUUAGAGGUGAAAUCCCGAGGCUCAACUUCGGAAUUGCCUCUGAUACUGUUCGGCUAGAGUGUAGUUGUGGUAGGCGGAAUGUAUGGUGUAGCGGUGAAAUGCUUAGAGAUCAUACAGAACACCGAUUGCGAAGGCAGCUUACCAAGCUACUUCUGACGUUGAGGCACGAAAGCGUGGGGAGCAAACAGGAUUAGAUACCCCUGUAGUC